UACGAAGGGGGCUAGCGUUGUUCGGAAUUACUGGGCGUAAAGCGCGUGUAGGCGGGUCUUUCAGUCAGGGGGGAAAUGCCAAGGCUCAACCUUGGAACUGCCUUUGAUACUGGAGACCUUGAGUCCGGGAGAGGUGAGUGGAAUUGCGAGUGUAGAGGUGAAAUUCGUAGAUAUUCGCAAGAACACCAGUGGCGAAGGCGGCUCACUGGCCCGGAACUGACGCUGAGACGCGAAAGCGUGGGGAGCAAACAGG
rnacentral:rRNA from 1 species